UAGCAUAUCAAUAAGCGGAGGAAAAGAAACUAACAAGGAUUCCCCUAGUAACUGCGAGUGAAGCGGGAAAAGCUCAAAUUUAAAAUCUGGCGGUCUCUGGCCGUCCGAGUUGUAAUCUAGAGAAGUAAUGCCCGUGCUGGACCGUGUACAAGUCUCCUGGGAUGGAGCGUCAUAGAGGGUGAGAAUCCCGUCUCUGACACGGACUACCAGUGCUUUGUGGUAUGCUCUCGACGAGUCGAGUUGUUUGGGAAUGCAGCUCAAAAUGGGUGGUAAAUUCCAUCUAAAGCUAAAUAUUGGCGAGAGACCGAUAGCGAACAAGUACCGUGAGGGAAAGAUGAAAAGAACUUUGGAAAGAGAGUUAAACAGUACGUGAAAUUGCUGAAAGGGAAACGCUUGAAGUCAGUCGCGUCGGCCAGGGAUCAGCCUUGCUCUUGCAUGGUGUACUUUCUGGUUGACGGGUCAGCAUCAAUUUUGACCGCUGGAAAAGUUCCUGGGGAAUGUGGCAGCUCCGGCUGUGUUAUAGCCCCUGGUUGCAUACAGCGGUUGGGAUUGAGGAACUCAGCACGCCGCAAGGCCGGGUUUCGACCACGUUCGUGCUUAGGAUGCUGGCAUAAUGGCUUUAAGCGACCCGUCUUGAAACACGGACCAAGGAGUCUAACAUGCCUGCAGU
rnacentral:rRNA from 1 species